CUACUAUAUUCUGAAUUGAAGUCUGCCCAGCCUGCUUGAACACCUGAGCCAUCUGAGAAAUUAGUUUAAGUUGGGAUGCUGAACAGUCUUUCUCAGCAAUGUGGCAGCAGGGCUGCUCCAUGCAGGGAGGGAGGCAGAAGCAAGGUGGACUGUGUCUAUGAGUUCGUGCUUCACUGCUGGUUCAAUCAGAGCUCUGAGUGUGUUACUGGACUUAUGAUGAAAUUUCAAGUAAAGGAUAGGAAUACCAUACUUCUUGCAGUACUGCCUGGAUUCAAGUUCACCUCUUUUGAAAAGAAUAUCCAAUCUUUGAUGUCUUGGGAAUCAUUACCUGUUGAACAGAGCAGUUGAAUGUGGGUUACAGCACUUAACAAAGAUUUAAGUGUGUUUUUACAGAUGUGCCUUAGACUCUGUUGUCACAAUUUCUGUGCCAGUGUAAAAAUAAAUAAUUGUUCAAGGAUUCCA
rnacentral:lncRNA from 1 species